GACUAGAUCAACUUCGAAAUCCAUUGUAGAGGUACUAUUAAGGAGAUCUGGUAGAGUACCGCAUUCAUCGAAUAAACACUUCAGUUUCUAGUUUCGAGACGUGAUCUUGUUGAACUCGAUGAGAAUAACAAGAAUCUGAUCACCUACAUGGAUGCCAUGUAGAGGUCUGACUCCGAUUAGUGGCUUGGAGCCAUAAAGUCCGAAAUGAAGUCGAUG
rnacentral:lncRNA from 1 species